UUAAGUUCAGCGGGUAGUCCUACCUGAUUUGAGGUCAGAUGACACAAAAAGGCUUGUCCGAAGACGACUGUAAGCGACCCCGGGCCGGCGACGAGCGGCGCACUAAGCGUUUGUUAUCACACCGUCGUUUUGGACCGACCAGAGGGACCAGCUAAUGCGUUUAAAGACGAGCGGGGCCCUUUCGGGCCGCAGGCGUCCAA
rnacentral:misc_RNA from 1 species